rnacentral:rRNA from 1 species
CGCUGGCGGCGUGCUUAACACAUGCAAGUCGAACGGGGAUAUUGAUUGAGAGCUUCGGCAGGAUAUCGAUUAAUUCGAGUGGCGGACGGGUGAGUAACGCGUGAGCAACCUGUCCCAGACAGGGGAUAACACUUGGAAACAGGUGCUAAUACCGCAUAAGACCACGGGAUCACAUGGUUCUGGGGUAAAAGGAGCAAUCCGGUUUGGGGUGGGCUCGCGUCCGAUUAGCCAGUUGGCGGGUAACGGCCCACCAAAGCGACGAUCGGUAGCCGACCUGAGAGGGUGAACGGCCACAUUGGAACUGAGAGACGGUCCAAACUCCUACGGGAGGCAGCAGUGGGGAAUAUUGGGCAAUGGGCGAAAAAGCCUGACCCAGCAACGCCGCGUGAGGGAAGAAGGUUUUCGGAUCGUAAACCUCUGUCCUUGGUGAAGAGGAAGAGACGGUAGCCAAGGAGGAAGCCCCGGCUAACUACGUGCCAGCCGCCGC